UUCCAAAGUAUACCAAUUAACAAAAAAAAAACCCCAUAUCCCUCAUAAGAGAUGAAAUCUCACAACCCUGAAUCCAGAUUCGUCACCUCAACGGCCAGCGGCCACCAACCCCUCCAGUUACGGCUCUAGCACCGCCACACACGACGGUCGCUGACUAUAGAUUUCGAUGGUGAUGGACAGAAAUGGGUCUUAGUUUUUCAUCCCUGAUGGCUUUCUUGUUAUCUCUUGAAAGUCUAUCAUCCACAGACAAUACGAAAAGAAGAUUUCUUCAUUCAUUUCCAUGGAAACUUCCUUCCAAACACUUGAGUGAUGGGGGACAGAUUUUGAAAUCAUUGAAGUCAACGGUAGCUUAAAGGAUAAAGAUUAGUAAUCAACAAAGCAGUCUCAACCAAUCAUAUAAAAGAAUGGUGACUUUUUAAGUCAAAAAAAAUUUUGGUUUAUCCGAUUUACAAAUGGAACUCAGCCGGAUUUUCUGUAGAAAUUUAUAUAUUUUUUAAAUCGUUUCAAAUGAUUCUUAUAAUGUAAUUUCUGUAUAUCUUUCAAAAGUUGUAAACUCUGAUAUUAAAGUUCUUUGAUAGAUUUCUAGUGGAUAAUAUAAUCUGUUGAGUAAUUGAUUAUAUUAUCAACGUAAUAGCUCGAUAUAAGUAUUAAGUUUUCGCAUUAGUUUAAAUUAAUCUUUUUUAUCAGCUGGUUGUUUUUGGGUUGUUACAUGAAGAGAAUAGAAUAAGACCCUUUCUUCAAUUUGCUAAAUUAAAUAAACUUAUUUUUAUCAAACUCAACUUAUUUAGUAAACAAGAAAUAUUUGUUUUAAUUAAACUCAACUUAUUAUUUAUUACUUAAACAAACAAAUAUCUUUAUAUAGAAUUAAACUUAGUUUUCAUAAUAUUGAUUUAUAAUUUUGAGAAUAUAGCUUAUGAUAAAAGCAUAUGGUUCUUAUAUCAAUCCCAACUUAUAUUGCAUUGAGAUGAGUGUAGGAUAGUAGGGACAAUGGAGAUCUACAAGGAAAGCUUCUCUCACUAAUGUAGGAGCAUCUUUCAAUAUGCUUAGUAGUUUUGUUUUGUAUUCAUUACAUAUUCUUCCUAUAUUGGGAUUCUUGACAAAGAGACAUAAUACAACAAAACUUCAUUUGGGUCUAAAUUAGUAUAGAAUUCAUAUUUAGUACCAACAAACCUAAUUUAUUGAUAACUUGAUAUAUCUUAGAGUGCUUCUAUAUCAUAUGACUUGUAUCAUUAACAUGUAAUUUGAUCAAGCUUCAAAUUUGAAUGUUUACUAUUUGUUGAACAACAUGCCACUAAUAUCUUGUUAAUUAUCUUCUUUUUCCUUCAAAUGUGGAAGUUUUUAAUUUUAUUUCUUGAUUGCAAAAUAUAUUCGGGUCGUUGAUAGUUUUUAUUAAAUUAUAGAAAU